rnacentral:rRNA from 1 species
CUUCCCUACGGGGCGCAGCAGUGGGGAAUAUUGGGCAAUGGGCGCAAGCCUGACCCAGCAACGCCGCGUGAAGGAAGAAGGCUUUCGGGUUGUAAACUUCUUUUCUUGGGGACGAAGAAAGUGACGGUACCCAAGGAAUAAGCCACGGCUAACUACGUGCCAGCAGCCGCGGUAAUACGUAGGUGGCAAGCGUUAUCCGGAUUUAUUGGGUGUAAAGGGCGUGUAGGCGGGAUUGCAAGUCAGAUGUGAAAACCACGGGCUCAACCUGUGGCCUGCAUUUGGAACUGUAGGUGUUGAGGGCUGGG